CUUCACCGAACCGAGCCACAGCGGUUCGGCUCGGUCCCGGCCGUAGGUGGCGAGCAGGGCUUGUGCCUC
rnacentral:antisense_RNA from 1 species